rnacentral:tRNA from 1 species
CCCUGGGUGGCUCAGAGGUAAAGCAUCUGCCUGGAAUGCUGGAGACCAGGUUCGAUCCCUGGGUCGGGGA